UACGUAGGGUGCGAGCGUUAAUCGGAAUUACUGGGCGUAAAGCGUGCGCAGGCGGUUUUGUAAGCCCGAUGUGAAAGCCCCGGGCUUAACCUGGGAAUGGCAUUUGGGACUGCAAGGCUUGAGUUUGGCAGAGGAGACUGGAAUUCCUGGUGUAGCAGUGAAAUGCGUAGAUAUCAGGAGGAAUACCGAUGGCGAAGGCAGGUCUCUGGGCUAUAACUGACGCUCAUGCACGAAAGCGUGGGGAGCAAACAGG
rnacentral:rRNA from 1 species